GUUCGUCACCCCUGGACAAGAAGCUCUGGAACAAGAGGGAUGGAGAUUCCAAGUUGAAGCCUAAAUCCCUAAAGAUCUGGAGAGAAGAUCCUCAGGAAGCAAUAAUGUCAUGAGUGUGCAACCCUAAAUCUUAGUGGGAUUUGUAUCUCAAACCAGAAAGGCCUUCAACAGACACUGGAUCCACCUGCACCUUGAUAUUCACCUUUGCAUCAUCCAGAAUGUAUAAGAAUCUUCAGUGGAGGACUCCAUAUCUCCAUGAUGUUACACCUGACCAAAUGAUGAAUCAUGGCCAAUGGAAUGUGAGCAGCCUUGUUAGAUUCUGCAGUUAAGAAAAUGCCGGGGUUCAAGUCUUGGCUCUGCUCAUGAUUUCAGUUUCCUGAUUAUGUGAACUCUGAAAUGGACAAGGUGAUAGUUAAUGCAAUUGGGUUCCUGCCACUCAUGGGAGAAGACCAGAUUGACUUCCCAGGUCGUGAGUUACCAUGGCCCAAAUCUGCUUGUUGACGACAUCUGGAGAGUG